rnacentral:rRNA from 1 species
AUUGAACGCUGGCGGCAGGCCUAACACAUGCAAGUCGGGCGCGCGGCGGACGUGUGAGUAAUGUCUGGGGCUCUGCCUCAUGGCUGGGGAUAACUACUGUCAACGCUAGCUACUACCGCAUCCCAUCCUAUGAACCCAUAUGGGAUUAGCUUGUAGGUGAGGUAACGGCUCACCUAGGCGACGCUCCCUCGCUGGUCUGAGAGGAUGAUCAGCCACACUGGGACUGAGACACGGGCCAGACUCCUACGGGAGGCAGCAGUGGGGAAUAGUGCACAAGGGGCGCAAGCCUGAUGCAGCCAUGCCGCGUGUAUGAAGAAGGCCUUCGGGUUGUAAAGUACUUUCAGUCGGGAGGCGUUAGCGAAAGAAGAAGCAACGGCUAACUCCGUGCCAGCAGCCGCGGUAAUAG